UGUAAUAAGUGGAGGUAGCUA
rnacentral:piRNA from 1 species